UGGGGAAUUUUGGACAAUGGGGGCAACCCUGAUCCAGCAAUGCCGCGUGUGUGAAGAAGGCCUUCGGGUUGUAAAGCACUUUUGUCCGGGAAGAAAUCGCACCUGAUAACACCGGGUGUGGAUGCCGGUACCGGAAGAAUAAGGACCGGCUAACUACGUGCCAGCAGCCGCGGUAAUACGUAGGGUCCAAGCGUUAAUCGGAAUUACUGGGCGUAAAGCGUGCGCAGGCGGUUGUGCAAGACCGAUGUGAAAUCCCCGGGCUUAACCUGGGGAUUGCAUUGGUGACUGCACGGCUAGAGUGUGUAAGAGGGGGGUAGAAUUCCACGUGUAGCAGUGAAAUGCGUAGAGAUGUGGAAGAAUACCGAUGGCGAAGGCAGCCCCCUGGGAUAACACUGACGCUCAUGCACGAAAGCGUGGGGAGCAAACAGG
rnacentral:rRNA from 1 species